GACCCGUUAGCUCAGUCGGUAGAGCAGUUGGCUUUUAACCAACGUGUCGAAGGUUCAAUUCCUUCACGGGUCACCA
rnacentral:tRNA from 1 species